GCCGCUAGCAAGAAACGCACCUUGGUGUGUGUGUGUGAAGUGGCCACCACACGCUCCCCGUGCCCUUUGAUGCCGGGAAAGAAUGCUCUGCUUUCCGAACCAAAGGCACUCGGUUUUGCCUGUGGGCUAUGCGGAAAUUUGAGAAGGUGGAAGCAAGAAACAACUUGCUCUGUCAGGGAGGAAAAGCAGUCUGCAGCUAUUUACACUGCACACUGCAGCUUUUAAGCGAGGCGGCCGGAGUGCCUGCAAUGGUCAAAGCCCAAGUUUCUUUCCGCAGGGCUGCUGCUUGCCCUGCUGUGCUGCCCACCAGCAGCUGCCUUCUGCCCCUCUCUGUUGCAGCAGGCUGAUACGAGCGGUCUCGGCGAGGCAUGACGAGGGAAACUGUUUCCUGUUUGUGUCUGUGAUGGACGUAACAGCCACUUUUACUACACGUGAGGCAUCGGGGGGUUUGUUCCUUCUUUCUCCAGCACCUUCUGGGUUCUGGUGGUCUAAGGGGAGCCAGCCUCAGGAGUUCCCUGAAGAGAGCCACAGAGGGAGGGUGCUGCUCCCAGCCUGGUCCCCCUGCGCAGAGGGGCUCUGGGCUGGGUGCCCCUUCAGCUGCAGGGCUGCUGCUGCCUGCAGCUGGGGCAGAUGCUGGCCCAGCCCCAGACGGAGAGAACACUGGAUAUCGAUUACUGCUCCUGCAGACAAAUUUACAUAUAAAAGCCGAACGUGAGAGAUAACUAACAGAUAAGCCUGCCAUUUUCCAGGUGCUGGAAAACCUGACUGCCUUCUUUUUACAAACA
rnacentral:lncRNA from 1 species